UACGUAGGGUGCAAGCGUUAAUCGGAAUUACUGGGCGUAAAGCGUGCGUAGUCGGUUAUCUAAGUCGGGUGUGAAAUCCCCGGGCUCAACCUGGGAAUUGCAUUCGAUACUGGAUAGCUAGAGUUCGGCAGAGGGAAGCGGAAUUUCUGGUGUAGCGGUGAAAUGCGUAGAUAUCAGAAGGAACAUCAGUGGCGAAAGCGGCUUCCUGGACCAGAACUGACGAUCAGGCACGAAAGCGUGGGGAGCAAACAGG
rnacentral:rRNA from 1 species